GCCUGGGUGGCUCAGUUGGUUGAGCAUCUGACUUCAGCUUGGGUCAUGAUCUCGUGGUUCAUGGGUUUGGGCCCCAUAUCGGGCU
rnacentral:tRNA from 1 species